rnacentral:lncRNA from 1 species
UUCACAAUUCACAUCCGACCAGAAUCUCUUUGGAUUUUCUGCCAGGCUAACACACAAAACUGGACAUCGUGUGGUGUAAAUCAUGUUGCUGCUGCUCCCACAACAAACACUGCAUGACUGAAAAAUAGAAGAUGCUGGGUUCGACACUGACUUCAAAGGAGGGGCCAGGAAAAGGACUGCUAUUCCUUAUUGAUGAAGGAGUUGAGGCUGAAGGAUCCACUGCAAUUCAAAAAUUUUGUGAGAAUGGAUCCAGCUUGUUUCAACAAGCUGUUAUCCUUCACUGAGCCGAAUACUCACCUGAGAGACACAGUUAUGAGGGACGCAAUUUUGCCAAGCAGAAGGCAAGACUUUAAUUUUGUUAGCAGUUACGUUGCAAUUUCUGGCGACUGGUGAAUCGUACAAGAGCUUGUCAUUUCCACAACAUAUUUCAGUUUUGAAUCUGUCUAAACUGAUAAUAGAUGUAUGCUGUGGAAUACUUUAAAGGGAUAAGUAUUUGAAGGUUCAUGUUUCCUCCAUUACUGAUUUAAAAAAUAGGAAAAAGUGAAAACUUUCACAUCACUUUUGAUUUCUUACAGGCACCAACAACUGAGGAGGAUUGGCUUCAAAUAGAGGCAGCUUUUGAUAAAUUGUGGCAGUUUCCAAACUGCAUAGGUGCUAUGGAUGGUACACACAUUGUGUUCUCCCCACUGCGGACUGCAUGUUCACAGUACUACAACUACAGAAAAUUCGAUAGUGUUGUGCAGCUUGCAGUAGUGGAUGCACGUUACAGAUUUCAACUUUUUGACAUUGGAGUUUUGAUGAACAGUAAAAUAAGUGUUGCCCUCUUAGAAAAUUGGUUGAAUGAGCCACAGGCAAUAUCCUUGGAGUGCAGCAAUAUUACUGUACCGGUACCAUAUGUAAUUGUGGCUGAUGAUGCUUUUCGGUUGGAGCCAAACAUAAUGAAACCAUUCAGAGACUGUGGUGGUGAUAAAACCAAAAGAGUGUUCAAUUACAGACUAUAGCGGGCAAGGGGAGUGGUAGAAAAUACAUUUGCCAUCCUUGCAAACAGAUUGAGUUCUCCUGGGUACAAUAAGGCUGCCAGUUGAAAAAGUAGUGCAAAUUGUGGAGACACUAUGCAUUUUACACAAUUUUUUGAUAGCUGAAGCAGAUUCCACAUAUUUGCUGGCUUACAGAUGUAGAGGACACACAAUUGUGCAUAGUGGAGGAAGGAGCUUGGAGGAUGGAUGCUGCUCUACCAGGCAUUGCUCAACAGAUUGGAAAUUGAACACCGUGCAGUGCGAGAGAUGUGUGUGAUAGGUUCUGUCAAUAUUUUAAUAGCAUUACGUAUGUCCCAUGGCAAUGGGAAUCGACAAAAAAUUUGAUUAUUGAGGAAUAUACCUAAGAACUUAAAAUAAAUGUUCUGUGUUAAAAAAAUUGGAAGCUGAUUCAAAAAAGAAGAAACAAUGCAGAAAAAAAGUUUCUUGAUUUUUAAUAGUCUUUCUUAUUUAAAUAAAAUGAGCAUUUUGUUAAUAUAAUUGUAUGUAAUCAGCAUCUUAAAAUAUCAAUAGAGCUCAGCAGCUGGAUUCCAUUGUGAAUUAUUGAAUUUCACAUGUCAGGUAGUUGUAUUUACCUUUUUUUUCCAUUUGUAUGUAUCACCUCAUACCAAUGAAUUUUUUUCUGUAAUGGUGUAGUACGAGUAGUGAAGGCCAAGCAUUUGAUGUUUGUGUGUCAAAAAUAUCCAUUUCCUCAAAACAUCAAAUGUCUGGGUGUCAAAAACAAAGUGUGUGUGUUCAACACACCAGACGCCUGUUCAAAGGUGUAUUAGCUGCAAGUUUAAAGUUAAUGCUGUCUGUAGUAAUUCAAUAAAUAUUAUCAAAUGUUUUGCUGUA